rnacentral:rRNA from 1 species
UACGAAGGGGGCUAGCGUUGUUCGGAGUUACUGGGCGUAAAGCGCACGUAGGCGGUUCGUUAUGUCGGAUGUGAAAGCCCUUGGCUUAACCGAGGAAGUGCAUCCGAAACUGGCGAGCUAGAGUACGAAAGAGGAUCGCGGAAUUCCCGGUGUAGAGGUGAAAUUCGUAGAUAUCGGGAGGAACACCGGUGGCGAAGGCGGCGAUCUGGGUCGAUACUGACGCUGAGGUGCGAAAGCGUGGGGAGCAAACAGGG